UUUCGAUAUCGUGAAAGUUAACCCAAAUUUGUAUGUAACUAGAACGUUUGCCUACGUUUGCCGCUAGGGGCGCUGUUCCAAUUCCAUACAAAUUUGAGUUAACUUCAACACUAAUCA
rnacentral:pre_miRNA from 9 species